CUUGCGUGCUGCUCGCGAUGCUCGUCUUGGGACGUUAAUAGCGUUCUUUUGGACGGGCACGCGGUAGCUGCGUAAUUCUGUCCGAUGAAGUCGGCGUGCACUUCUCCCCUAGUAGGACGUCGCGACCCGUUGAGUGUCGGUCUAAGGCCCGCGAGGUUGACUGCCGGUGCGUCAGCGUGUCAAAGCGUUGGCGCCGCCGGUAGACCCGCGGUCGCCCGACCGACUGCUCGGCGGUAUAAAUUGUUUGAAAGUUCAAUGGUAUCGAGCCGCAUGAUUUUGAAUGCGUUCUUUUA
rnacentral:rRNA from 1 species